rnacentral:rRNA from 1 species
GACGAACGCUGGCGGCGUGCCUAAUACAUGCAAGUUGAGCGCUGAAGGUUGGUACUUGUACCAACUGGAUGAGCAGCGAAUGGGUGAGUAACGCGUGGGGAAUCUGCCUUUGAGCGGGGGACAACAUUUGGAAACGAAUGCUAAUACCGCAUAAAAACUUUAAACACAAGUUUUAAGUUUGAAAGAUGCAAUUGCAUCACUCAAAGAUGAUCCCGCGUUGUAUUAGCUAGUUGGUGAGGUAAAGGCUCACCAAGGCGAUGAUACAUAGCCGACCUGAGAGGGUGAUCGGCCACAUUGGGACUGAGACACGGCCCAAACUCCUACGGGAGGCAGCAGUAGGGAAUCUUCGGCAAUAGACGAAAGUCUGACCGAGCAACGCCGCGUGAGUGAAGAAGGUUUUCGGAUCGUAAAACUCUGUUGGUAGAGAAGAACGUUGGUGAGAGUGGAAAGCUCAUCAAGUGACGGUAACUACCCAGAAAGGGACGGCUAACUACGUG